AUUGAACGCUGGCGGCAUGCCUUACACAUGCAAGUCGAACGGCAGCACGGGAGCAAUCCUGGUGGCGAGUGGCGAACGGGUGAGUAAAGUAUCGGAACGUGCCCAGUCGUGGGGGAUAACGUAGCGAAAGUUACGCUAAUACCGCAUACGAUCUAUGGAUGAAAGCGGGGGAUCGCAAGACCUCGCGCGACUGGCGCGGCGGAUAUCAGAUUAGGUAGUUGGUGGGGUAAAGGCUCACCAAGCCGACGAGCUGUAGCUGGUCUUAGAGGACGACCAGCCACACUGGGACUGAGACACGGCCCAGAAUCCUAAGGGAGGCAGCAGUGGGGAAUUUUGGACAAUGGGCGCAAGCCUGAUCCAGCCAUGCCGCGUGCAGGAUGAAGGCCUUCGGGUUGUAAACUGCUUUUGUACGGAACGAAAAGGUUUGACUUAAUACGUUGGACUCAUGACGGUACCGUAAGAAUAAGCACCGGCUAACUACGUGCCAGCCGCCGCCGUAA
rnacentral:rRNA from 1 species